rnacentral:rRNA from 1 species
GACGAACGCUGGCGGCGUGCUUAACACAUGCAAGUCGAGCGGAAAGGCCCUUCGGGGUACUCGAGCGGCGACCGGGUGAGUAACACGUGACCAAUCUGCCCUUGAGUGGGGGAUAACCUCGGGAAACCGGGGCUAAUCCCGCAUAACAUCUUCGGCUCGGAAGAGCUGGAGAUCAAAGGAGCAAUUCGCAUAAGGAGGAGGUCGAGGCUGAUUAGCGAGUUGGCGGGGUAAAGGCCCACCAAGGCGAAGAUCGGUAGGCGGCCUGAGAGGGCGCACGGACACACUGGAACUGAAACACGGUCCAGACUCCUACGGGAGGCAGCAGUGGGGAAUUUUGCGCAAUGGGGGAAACCCUGACGCAGCAACGCCGCGUGGAGGAUGAAGUCCCUUGGGACGUAAACUCCUUUCGACCGGGAAGAUGAUGACGGUACCGGUGGAAGGAGCCCCGGCUAACUUCGUGCCAGCCGCCGCCGUAACAC